rnacentral:rRNA from 1 species
AUUGAACGCUGGCGGCAGGCCUAACACAUGCAAGUCGAACGGUAACAGGAAGAAGCUUGCUUCUUUGCUGACGAGUGGCGGACGGGUGUGUAAUGUACGGGAAACUGCCUGAUGGAGGGGGAUAACUACUGGAAACGGUAGCUAAUAUCGCAUAACGUAGCAAGACCAAAGAGCGGGACCUUCGGGCCCCUUGCCAUCGGAUGUGCCCAGAUGGGAUUAGCUAGUAGGUGGGGUAACGGCUCACCUAGGCGACGAUCCGUAGCUGGUCUGAGAGGAUGACCAGCCACACUGGAACUGAGACACGGUCCAGACUCCUACGGGAGGCAGCAGUGGGGAAUAUUGCACAAUGGGCGCAAGCCUGAUGCAGCCAUGCCGCGUGUAUGAAGAAGGCCUUCGGGUUGUAAAGUACUUUCGUCGGGGAGGAAGGGAGGAAAGUUAAUACCUUGGCGUAUUGACGGUACCCGCAGAAGAAGCACCGGCUAACUCCGUG